UACGUAGGGGGCUAGCGUUAUCCGGAUUUAUUGGGUUUAAAGGGAGCGUAGAUGGAUGUUUAAGUCAGUUGUGAAAGUUUGCGGCUCAACCGUAAAAUUGCAGUUGAUACUGGAUAUCUUGAGUGCAGUUGAGGCAGGCGGAAUUCGUGGUGUAGCGGUGAAAUGCUUAGAUAUCACGAAGAACUCCGAUUGCGAAGGCAGCCUGCUAAGCUGCAACUGACAUUGAGGCUCGAAAGCGUGGGGAUCAA
rnacentral:rRNA from 1 species